GAUAAAAUGACUGAGUGAAAGCAUUGGAUUGUAAAUUCAAAGAUAGAGACCAGAUAUCUCUUUUUGCCA
rnacentral:tRNA from 1 species